rnacentral:misc_RNA from 1 species
GUGAUGCUCAGUAGAAUUUACAGUUAAAUUUUCUUUCACAAGCACCGGUUUAACGACAUGUCUUCAAGACUUGUUUGCUUCGCUCUUUGGUUUUGCUUUGUGAUAACAAAAAGCGAAAACUUCAAAGUUAACGUUCAACUGGAUUGUCAUAAAACGUUUCACAAGCUUUCUAGCAUGAAUCACGAUGUCACCCCAACAGGAGUUGUGAUCUCUCUAGCUAAUGCCGGAGUUCCCAGUGAUGCAGUUGACGUCGUGGUUUUUGCGAAAGUUUAUUCGGGUCAAACACCAACGACAGGGUCAGGAAGUUUCAUAAACGUCUAUCUAAAGGGCGCAAGUGGUAUUAUUGAAGACGAAAGGCAACUAAUGUACUACACAUACCCUCAAAAUGCCGUAUCGGUCAAUUCAGAAAAUAUGGUUUUUCCAAUAAACAGCAACUCGAAGACUAUUACAGCCCAAGUGGAUGGUACUUUUCCGUCAAGAAAUUUUGCUGCUACAGUUAAAAUUCAUGGUUACUAUACCUUUUGUUGCCAAUAAAUUGUAGAAGCCUCGCGAUUCAA